rnacentral:rRNA from 1 species
CUACGGGAGGCAGCAGUGGGGAAUAUUGCACAAUGGGCGCAAGCCUGAUGCAGCAACGCCGCGUGAACGAAGAAGGUUUUCGGAUCGUAAAGUUCUUUUCUUGGGGAAGAAACCAUGACGGUACCCAAGGAAUAAGCACCGGCUAACUACGUGCCAGCAGCCGCGGUAAUACGUAGGGUGCAAGCGUUAUCCGGAAUCACUGGGCGUAAAGGGUGCGUAGGCGGUUUUACAAGUCAGAAGUGAAAGGCAAUGGCUCAACCAUUGUAAGCUUUUGAAACUGUAAGACUUGAAUGCAGGAGAGGUAAGUGGAAUUCCUAGUGUAGCGGUGAAAUGCGUAGAUAUUAGGAGGAACACCAGUGGCGAAGGCGACUUACUGGACUGUUAUUGACGCUGAGGCACGAAAGCGUGGGGAGCGAACAGGAUUAGAUACCCCAGUAGUC